GAUGAACGCUGGCGGCGUGCCUAAUACAUGCAAGUCGAGCGAACGGACGAGAAGCUUGCUUCUCUGAUGUUAGCGGCGGACGGGUGAGUAACACGUGGAUAACCUACCUAUCAGACUGGGAUAACUUCGGGAAACCGGCGCUAAUACCGGAUGAUAUUUUGAACCGCAUGGUUCAAAAGUGAAAGACGGUCUUGCUGUCACUUAUAGAUGGAUCCGCGCUGCAUUAGCUAGUUGGUAAGGUAACGGCUUACCAAGGCAACGAUGCAUAGCCGACCUGAGAGGGUGAUCGGCCACACUGGAACUGAGACACGGUCCAGACUCCUACGGGAGGCAGCAGUAGGGAAUCUUCCGCAAUGGGCGAAAGCCUGACGGAGCAACGCCGCGUGAGUGAUGAAGGUCUUCGGAUCGUAAAACUCUGUUAUUAGGGAAGAACAUACGUGUAAGUAACUGUGCACAUCUUGACGGUACAUAAUCAGAAAGCCACGGCUAACUACGUG
rnacentral:rRNA from 1 species